rnacentral:ncRNA from 1 species
CUUAUCAAGAGCGGUGGAGGGAACGGCCCGAUGAAACCCGGCAACCUGCGUCCAGCAAGGUGCCAAAUCCGGCGAGGAAAUCGAAAGAUGAGG